GACGAACGCUGGCGGCGUGCUUAACACAUGCAAGUCGAACGGAAAGGCCCUGCUUUUGUGGGGUGCCCGAGUGGCGAACGGGUGAGUAACACGUGAGUAACCUGCCCUUGACUUUGGGAUAACUUCAGGAAACUGGGGCUAAUACCGGAUAGGAGCUCCUGCUGCAUGGUGGGGGUUGGAAAGUUUCGGCGGUUGGGGAUGGACUCGCGGCUUAUCGGCUUGUUGGUGGGGUAGUGGCUUACCAAGGCUUUGACGGGUAGCCGGCCUGAGAGGGUGGCCGGCCACAUGAGGACUGCGAUACGGCCCAGACUCCUACGGGAGGCAGCAGUGGGGAGUAUUGCACAAUGGGCGGAAGCCUGAUGCAGCAACGCCGCGUGCGGGAUGACGUCCUUCGGGUUGUAAACCGCUUUCGCCUGUGACGAAGCGUGAGUGACGGUAAUGGGUAAAGAAGCACCGGCUAACUACGUG
rnacentral:rRNA from 1 species